ACAGACCGACAAACGAGAUGGACAAGCCGGGAAUGGCGAGGAAAAGCCCCGCAGAAGACAUGAUGAUGACACCGAGGCGGAGCCUAACUACGACCGAACCCGAAUACUUCCGUCUGACUCAGGGUGGACCAGCUCCCAGGGCGAAAUACUCACUCGAGCCCGAUAGUGAACCAAUAUCGAGCCUGAAAGGUUAAGCGCACCCCGUAAGGGGAGUGAAAUAUAGGCUGAGGCUGGGUGCCUGCAACAAGGCACAGCCCGUUAAUGUGUGAUGGCGUGCCUAGUGUAGAAUGAACCGGCGAGAUACGAUUGCAUGCGAGGUUAGGUUGAAGAGAUGGAGCCGCAGCGGAAGCGAGUCUGAAUAGGGCGUUUGAGUAUGUGGUCGUAGGCGCGAAACCAUGUGAGCUACCCAUGUCCAGGAUGAAGGUGCGGUAAAACGCUCUGGAGG
rnacentral:rRNA from 1 species